UGCUCUCUUAACACAUUUAACAUUUGAGAUUAUAUUCCCAACUUUAGAAGCUCUUAAGUGUGUAGAAAUUCUUUCAAACAGGAUUUCCUGAAUUAACAGUCAUGAGUUUCUGCCCUAGGAAUUUUCUCCCUAUAUUGUUUGCUUGGGGCUUUACAACGAUCUAUAGUUGGACAUUAUGGUCUAUUGACACACCUCUUACAUUGAGGAUUCCCUGUAUUUAGAGCUUCGGAGUUUUGUAACAUAGAUUGGUCUUUUACUUUAUCCUUUGACUAUUAAAAUUCAGUGUAACAAAGUUGUAUAUACUUGAGUUCUAAUUUGUUCCUCUUCUAGCUUUUCAUCACCACUUGUUUGUUUAUUUAUUUUUCCCAUUCCUAUACACAGUGAUGCCAUUGAACAAAUAACUGACAGGUAAAUAGGAGAGGAUUAUAAAGCGAUAGGUUUUUGUAUCACUUGAACACUUAUGGGUACUUAACCAGUGACUGCUUAUGAAGUUUCAAAGUACUUUUAGGGGAAUAAA
rnacentral:lncRNA from 1 species